rnacentral:rRNA from 1 species
UACAGAGGCCACGAGCGUUAGGCGGAAUCACUGGGCUUAAAGCGUGUGUAGGUGGAUCGGUAAGUACCUUGUGAAAUCCCACGACUCAAUCGUGGAACUGCUUGGUAUACUGCCAGUCUUGAGGUACUCAGGGGCAAGCGGAACAGAUGGUGGAGCGGUGAAAUGCGUAGAUAUCGGAAGGAACGCCGGUGGCGAAAGCGACGUGCUGGACCUCUUCUGACGCUGAGGCGCGAAAGCUAGGGGAGCAAACGGG